rnacentral:rRNA from 1 species
AGAGUUUGAUCCUGGCUCAGAUUGAACGCUGGCGGCAUGCCUUACACAUGCAAGUCGAACGGUAACGCGGGGCAACCUGGCGACGAGUGGCGAACGGGUGAGUAAUACAUCGGAACGUGCCCAGUAGUGGGGGAUAGCCCGGCGAAAGCCGGAUUAAUACCGCAUACGACCCAAGGGUGAAAGCAGGGGAUCGCAAGACCUUGCGCUAUUGGAGCGGCCGAUGUCAGAUUAGGUAGUUGGUGGGGUAAAAGCCUACCAAGCCGACGAUCUGUAGCUGGUCUGAGAGGACGACCAGCCACACUGGGACUGAGACACGGCCCAGACUCCUACGGGAGGCAGCAGUGGGGAAUUUUGGACAAUGGGCGCAAGCCUGAUCCAGCCAUGCCGCGUGCGGGAAGAAGGCCUUCGGGUUGUAAACCGCUUUUGUCAGGGAAGAAACGCUCUGGGUUAAUACCCUGGGGUAAUGACGGUACCUGAAGAAUAAGCACCGGCUAACUACGUGCCAGCAGCCGCGGUAAUACGUAGGGUGCAAGCGUUAAUCGGAAUUACUGGGCGUAAAGCGUGCGCAGGCGGUCUUGCAAGACAGAUGUGAAAUCCCCGGGCUCAACCUGGGAACUGCAUUUGUGACUGCAAGGCUGGAGUGCGGCAGAGGGGGAUGGAAUUCCGCGUGUAGCAGUGAAAUGCGUAGAUAUGCGGAGGAACACCGAUGGCGAAGGCAAUCCCCUGGGCCUGCACUGACGCUCAUACACGAAAGCGUGGGGAGCAAACAGGAUUAGAUGCCCUGGUAGUCCACGCCCUAAACGAUGUCAACUGGUUGUUGGGAAGGUUCCUCCUCAGUAACGAAGCUAACGCGUGAAGUUGACCGCCUGGGGAGUACGGCCGCAAGGUUGAAACUCAAAGGAAUUGACGGGGACCCGCACAAGCGGUGGAUGAUGUGGUUUAAUUCGACGCAACGCGAAAAACCUUACCUACCCUUGACAUGUCUGGAAUUCCACAGAGAUGAGGAAGUGCUCGAAAGAGAACCAGAACACAGGUGCUGCAUGGCCGUCGUCAGCUCGUGUCGUGAGAUGUUGGGUUAAGUCCCGCAACGAGCGCAACCCUUGUCAUUAGUUGCUACGAAAGGGCACUCUAAUGAGACUGCCGGUGACAAACCGGAGGAAGGUGGGGAUGACGUCAGGUCAUCAUGGCCCUUAUGGGUAGGGCUACACACGUCAUACAAUGGCCGGUACAGAGGGCUGCCAACCCGCGAGGGGGAGCUAAUCCCAGAAAACCGGUCGUAGUCCGGAUCGCAGUCUGCAACUCGACUGCGUGAAGUCGGAAUCGCUAGUAAUCGCGGAUCAGCUUGCCGCGGUGAAUACGUUCCCGGGUCUUGUACACACCGCCCGUCACACCAUGGGAGCGGGUUCUGCCAGAAGUAGUUAGCCUAACCGCAAGGGGGGCGAUUACCACGGCAGGGUUCGUGACUGGGGUGAAGUCGGAACAAGGUA